UCACCAACUACAUAUAAUAAUUCAGCCACGUCUUUUCUGAAGUAGCUAUCUUCGAAUGCAACUACCUAUCUAAUGAGAUAGGUACUAGCUAGCUAGGAAAUUACUAACGAAAUAAAUCGUACAUAACUGCAAUUAUUUCCCAUUACCUUGAGGAUGCAGGAUGGCCCCAUAGGCCGUAACCCAGUACACUCAUUUUUUCUCUCAUUCCCUGCCAUUAAAGCAAUCUCAUCAUGCAUGUUGGCUAUCAUGUUCUACACCUACAGCUUUAGCACUUUUUGAUGAUUUGAUCCCUUGCUGGAUUUCUUUCCUGUCCUCUUUCAGGAUACACAGUACUUUUGGGAGCCUUAGAUCCUCUACAAGAUGACGAUGAUGAUGCGAAGGAAAAUGGACAGCCACAUGAGAAAAAGAUUGAAAAACAUGAUGAGGAAUAUGGAAAUGGAGAGUAUCUAUGAAAAGCAAGUGACCAUAGGGGCCCAGACUGCUAAAAGCACCGCCAUCGCGCAACAUGUCAAGUUGCCAAUCCAUAAAACACUUGCUCGGUUUGGUUACCAGUAUGAACCCCUCAUUUCUAGAUAUUUUGUGCCCUACUUUCCUUACAAAACAGAGUAAAAAGAGAGGUAUGGAGGAGUGGUAGUGCUAUGGCAGAGCCGUAGAGGUACGAGAUGUUGAAAUGGAGGAAUAAAAUCUUUCAAGGAGAGAUAUGGCUCUGAAGAGUAUAUAGCCAUAUUUAUAACGAGCCAAGCUAAAGAUCUUCAAUUGUCAAGAGUCCAAUAAUUUUGAAGCAACACACGUACAGAACUUUUAAUCUCAAGUGCAAUCACCAUUUUGAUUAUAUAUAAAAAAAAAAACUGGCUUAUGAAAUACAUUGAGAGCUUUGCUAGGAUUUCUUAAGAGCAGGUGUUAGAAAAAAAAAUUGUAUGAAUCUUAAAUCAGUAAACUUAGAAUUGGAUCCAGAGAAAAAA